GGUUAGUGCACUUUGCAAAUUUGCAGGCUCUAUCUUGUGGUAUGAAAUGAGUACGCGAUGAUUCCUUUUGCGUAUUGGGGGCUGACCAUAAGAUAAAGCCGCGAAUUUGCAAAGUGUUCAAACC
rnacentral:pre_miRNA from 1 species